CCAUCAUUCAGUUGGGCACUCUAGCGAGACUGCCGGUAAUAAACCGGAGGAAGGUGGGGAUGACGUCAAAUCAUCAUGCCCUUAUGACCUGGGCUACACACGUGCUACAAUGGUUGGUACAACGAGUUGCGAGUCGGUGACGGCGAGCUAAUCUCUUAAAGCCAAUCUCAGUUCGGAUUGUAGGCUGCAACUCGCCUACAUGAAGUCGGAAUCGCUAGUAAUCGCGGAUCAGCACGCCGCGGUGAAUACGUUCCCGGGCCUU
rnacentral:rRNA from 1 species